CUCUCGGCAGCUGCUAAACUCACGGGGGAACUAUUACUACCCCAUUUCUGGCAGCAGAUGAUUCCGUCCAACAUGGUAGCCAUAGCCUUCCUUCUCCCAUCGGGCUAUUCGGUCGAGGACGGGACUAUUGAAGUCGCCGGCAGAUUCCAGAAAUCAUUUAAAAAUAGGAAUUUGCAUGAAGACAUAAUGUAACUAAAAACCCGUACCAUGUAAAACUACGCGUCUACUGACGGGGCAAAAGAACGGACGAUUCCAAAUUACACAAGAAAUUCGCGGCGAUCGAGAGAUGCCCGAUACAACUAUAAAGAGGACAUCUCUGCUCAAUAUAAAAGCAUAGGUAGAUGCCUUCAUUCACUUAGGCCAUCCCCACCCGCAACACUUGUAACUGGGGCGCCCCCCCCCAUGCUGCCGAUCACCAUGGUUUGGUCCGACGGAAGCCACAGCCCUACUCUCAGGAAAUGGGUGAGGCGAGAGUAGUCAGCGACCAGGUUAUUCUCUGGAGGGAAAGCACAAAGGACAGGAGGACCACACAUGCUUGGAGCUGACAGUGGACACAACAAGGCACCUUCUGAGGAGAGGAGACAGAGGAAUCUACAGGCCCAGAGGGGACUUUACAAUGAGGAACAGUGUUGGGUCCAUGGCAGGAGAUGCCAUGGGCCUCAGAUGUUCAGUCUGGCAGUUAGGUGUGUUUUCCUCCAAACUGGUUACCACGUCUGAAUGCAUGAUGACUUCAGAGGCUUCUGACUUCCCUGGCUGGGAGGUUCAAAGGUAGUAGAGUCUGGCAGCCCAGCAGGCAACAGCUGCUUCUCAGAACUGUUCUCCACUGGUGACUCGUGUCCUGAUUGGAGGAGAGAUAAUGGCUUGGGCUCGACUAAAUUACAGAAGAAGUAUGUAGGCAGAUCAGAGGCUGUGUUUUGUGAAGGGGGCGAUGAUAUUUGGGAGAACUCAUGGCCAGAAGUCAACUAUUCUCCCAGUAUGAAAACCAGAGUUCCCGGACUAUCCUUCCUGGAUACACCCUGGAGGUGGUGGUGGUGGAUGAUGAUGAGAUCCUAGGACCAUCUGUGAUGAGGCUGGAGGCAGAAGAGGUCUGAGAAGGUGACUGGUAAGGAAAAGGGGCUACAGAACAAGGAAGGAGGGGCUCAGGAAGGCAGAGAUGGGAGAAAGAAAAGACAGGAGGCGGGACAAGGAUGGGCAAUGGAUGGAAAACCUAGAGAGCAGGAAAGGGGUCAGGAGAUGAGAUCCAAGAUGGACAGGGGAAGAGGUGACUCAGGCAGAGUCCCUCCCCUGGUGACUGAAAAUGUCUACAUGAGGAAGAGUUUAUAGGGAUGGGGUGAGGGGACAGUGGCAUGCAGAACUGGGGACAGAGGAGAUCAGCAAAGGUUGAGGAUGGAACAAUGGCUUUGGAGGGGACAAUGGUAGAAGUUUUGGGAUUUAUUUGGAAGGUGAGAGUUGGAAUUGAGAUGGUCAAAGUCUGAAUUUCAAAGAGGGAAGCUGAAUAAACUUCCUACUUGGGUAGCACCCAGCCUCCCACCUCAGGCCUGUGCUCAGAAGAGGAAGAUAGAUUGGUCCCCAGAGUCUGAGGAAGAGCUGCGGGAAGACCUGAUGGGUCUCUCUGAUGGAGUCCCUGGGUUAGCACCUUACUUUCUGCCUCUGGCCUAUGCCCAGAAGAAGCACAAGGAAUCAGAGGCAGAGCAGGAGAAGAAUCAUCACCAGGGUGCUUCUGACUCACCCCAGAGAGGGAACCCCAGCCUCUUACCUUGGUCCUCUGGCCAGAAGUGGAAGAAGGAGUGGUCAUUCCAGCCUACAGAGGAAAGGAGGGGGGAAUACCCAGGUGCUUGAUGUAACCCCAUCAGGCUCCCACCUUGCAGGAGAUGGAGGGAUUCUCUCUCCAGGUUGCACAAGGUGUCAAGGGAACUAGUGGGGCAGCGGGGCCCUGUGCCCUCUACACAGAUGGAUGUCACAGAGAAGCUCUGUGGCCUCAAGAGGAAGAGAAAGGAAGCACCUGUCUUCAGUGCUGCCUGAGCACCACGCGGCCUUCACCAGAGGUUCUGGUCAUCAAGAGAUUCCUGGCCUGAAACAUGAACCCGAGGGCUUCUGACAAGUAUCUCCUGGCCAUGGUCAUCGCCUACUUCAGCCGGGCCGGCCUCCUCCCCUGGCAGUACCAGAGGAUCCACUUCUUCCUGGUGCUAUACCUGGCCAUUGACAUGGAAGAAGACGACCAGGCUUCUAAACUAGAACUGUUAUUCUUCCUCUAUGGGAGCAUCUUUGCUAAGAUUCCCCAGUUCCAGAAGCUGCGCUACCAGUUCAUUUGCUGCAUGGGCUGGGACCCUCAGAGUGACUGAGAGGAGUGUGAGGUGGUGGCUGGGACUGGGCCGACAGGGACGGACUGGGCUGGGACAGACGGGAACAGGAGAUUGGGGACGGGUGAGCACGAAGAGCUGGAGGCUGGCUAUGGGGUGGCAUCACUGCAACUCGGCAUCCACUCAGGGGUUGCUUUCCUUUCCAGAUCCAAGCUUAUGAUCCUGUGCUGUGGGUGUGGGGGGAAGAUCACGCCCUCAUUCUGUGGACCCUGAAGACCUGAGGACAGUGGCCUCAAGAAGGUUGGUGAGAGUCCCAGGGUUCAGAGAGCACCACUGCUGCCUAUGUAGGGAAUGCAGGGAGCCCAUGGGAGGCUCCUCUCAUGAUCCCCCCACCCGGUCCACCAUCUACACAUCUGGAACCAGCCCAGCCCCAGGCACAAGGUCGGUCCCUCCCUGUCUCCUCCAUAGCCAACCAACCUGACAAGCAGACAACACAACCUCAGAGAGAUGUCUUGGGUGCUGGGACAGUGCAGUAAGACCUCACAACCAAACAAAAACAAAACACUGUCUCAGAGGCACAGAUUCGGUAGGGAUUAUUUAAUUCAGAGCAACUUGGUCCAAAUGACACUGCAGAUUAAAUGCUGAUUUUUGUCCCCAGUGAAUACCGACUAGAUAUAAAUUUCCAUUUCUUCUUCUAAAAGUUGUUUCUACUGUCAUUUAUUGAGGGGCUAUAGUCCCAUAGGGGUAUCAUUCAGAAUUUAGUUACACUGAAGUAAAUGAAGGAGGAGGUAUCAGCUAGAACAGGCUACAUAUUCAGAAAUGGAAGAGAAUUAGCCUAUGUGCUCCUCUUAGUUCAUAUCCACAGUGCUUCUGGCCUGAGCACCCCUGGGAGAUCUUCCCGUACCCUGUGCCACUGCGUCUGGAAGAAUUUCUCCUCUUGAAUAAUUACCCAUCUUCAAACUUAGGGUUAUAGGUAUUUAUCAUUAUGAUGGCAGAUUGACAAAUAUGAGCUCCAGGGUGGCACCUUGCUGUUAACACAUUACAGUAUGGGUUUGCACAGAUGAGUAGGCAAAGAUUUAAAUUACAUGCAAUCAGCCAAAUUUAGGAGCAAACAUGUUGGUGACAUAUAAGGGAAUGGGAUUAGGGAUUCAGUAUGUGGUUUCAUGGUCAUGAUGCUGAUAGAUUUAUUAGUUAUGUUUAUAGUGUGGUAACAAGUGCAGAUAUGAAGGGAAAAAAACCAAAAAUGUGACUGCACAGAAAACACGCCAUCUUCUCCAAGGGCACUCUAGACUCUAAGCACAAUCACCUCAAGUCCUCAAAAAGCAGGAAGCUGAGUCUAACCUAAAGCCUCUUUUUUUUGGAAUGGGGUACAAAAAUUCUGAACCACAACUGGAAAUGAGGGCUCAGGAUUGGAGUUAAGAAUGAAGGAUUAGAGAUAAAGUUGGAUUUGUAAAUUGACUGGAACUAGUUGGGAGUGACUUCAUGUGUCAGUCUUUUCAUCUAAAUAACUGACCCCAUGAAGACUGACAUGCUCUCUCUCCCCCACUUCCAGAUCUCUGGGCCUGGGGAAGAUGAGCUAUUUCAGCACAAAGACCAUGUUGACACUAAUCACAGCCUAGGGAUGGAUUAGAGAAGCCUCUUGUUUGGAUAAUCUAGAAGAAUCCAGACUUUUCUAGAAGAACCCAAAGAGAAUCAGUGUAUCAUACUUCUUCCUAGAGCUGUGGAGUCCAUGGAGGCAUAAUGAGCAACCAAAGUUUUUGGGCUCAGCUUCUAAAUUUUACAUUCCUAAUUCCAGUUGCUGUUGAGGUGAAGUUGCAGGUACAGCUGUCUUAGUUACUUUUUGUUGCUGGGACAAAAUAUCCAACACCCUCAAAUUAAAGGAGGAAAGGUUUAUUUUGGCUUACAGUUUACAGAAGUUUCAGUCCAUAGUCAGCUCGCUUCAAGGCAGGACAUGAUGGAAGAGGCAGAGGCAGUAGCAGCAACAGCAGCAGCACCAUCACCACCAGGAACCCCAGCUUCUUUGUUCCUUUAUAUUCCACCCAGGCUACAAGUCUGUUGAUUGGUGCCACCCACACCCAGGGUGUGGCUUCCCAUUACCCACAUGCAGAACAGCACUAAACCGAUCAGUAAACUAAUCCAACUAUCACAUCCUAAUCCACAUUCACACACCCUACAUCCACCACCUCUGAAAAGCCCCACUUCUAAAUGCAUGAAGCUUUGGGGGAUACCUACAUACAAGCCGUAACAGCCAUUUUUGAUAUAUUUGGUUUCCACAGUCUUGAAAUCAAUUGAUGGGGACCUGUAGAGGGCCAGGUUGGGAAGCAAUUAUUUUUAAAGUUUAAUGUGAAAGUCACAGCAGUGUCACAGUUUGCUUUAAUACACAGUAUAAAUUUUAUUGAUUUAUUUUGAACGUUUGACAUAGAAAUAUUACUGUACUAUAGUGCUAUACUAUAAUUCUGUGAUAUAAGUAUUUAUAUCUAUCUUAUAAAUCUGUUCUUACAAUGCUCAGUGUUGGAUAUUUCAAGUGAGAGAUAAAUAUAUAUAUUUUUUCUUUUAAGAGAUUUUUUUCUUUUUACCUAUUGUACUUAUACAUCCAUUAUAUUUAUAGCUAGGUAUUGCUAUUCCCUAACUUUUGUAAAUAGAAAUGCUUACAGGAUGUCUGUUCUUCAUCAUUGAGUUGUGAACACUGAGCUUGACUAGUGUGUCUGAUACGGGACUGAAGAUAGGCCAUGCAUCUCAGGAAAAUAAAAGGAAGAUGAACUGUCUUCUCAC